rnacentral:misc_RNA from 1 species
GGCAUUAAACAGAUAUAUACAGUGUGUUUAUUAUAGGACACAAGUGAGAAAGGAGUUGUUUUGUAAUGAACUCUAGGGUGAAUUAAGCAUUAUAUUGACAUUUAUUCAAAGAAUAGAAGUGCAAAAUAAACAAUUUGCCACAAAUUAUGUAAACUUAAUUUGUAAUAUGUACAAAUUUGUAAUAUAUUCCUAAAUGAUGAUUUUCCCAUUGUGAUUUUACAUUCUCAAAUUUUAACCUGUGUUUUUUUUCAUAUUUUAUAAAUCCGCAAUAAAGGAAAUAAACAAU